AUUGAACGCUGGCGGAAUGCUUUACACAUGCAAGUCGAGCGGCAGCGCGGCCUUCGGGCUGGCGGCGAGCGGCGCACGGGUGAGUAAUGCAUCGGAACAUGCCCAGUCGUGGGGGAUAACACUUCGAAAGAAGUGCUAAUACCGCAUACGUCCUGAGGGGGAAAGCGGGGGAUCGCAAGACCUCGCGGGAUGGGAGUGGUCGAUGUCAGGUUAGCUAGUUGGUGGGGUAAAGGCCUACCAAGGCGACGAUCGGUAGCUGGUCUGUGAGGAUGAUUAGCCACACUGGAACUGGGACACGGCCCAGACUCCUGCGGGAGGCAGCAGUGGGGAAUUUUGGACAGUGGUGGCAACCCUGAUACAGCCAUUCCGCGUGAGUGAAGGAGGCCUUCGGGUUGUAAAGCUCUUUCGGCAGGAACGAAACGGUGGGCUCUAACAUAGUCCGCUAAUGACGGUACCUGAAGAAGAAGCACCGGCUAACUACGUG
rnacentral:rRNA from 1 species